rnacentral:piRNA from 1 species
ACACGAGUAGUAGAUCGCCACGGCACGG